rnacentral:rRNA from 1 species
AUUGAACGCUGGCGGCAGGCCUUACACAUGCAAGUCGAACGAGUGGCGGACGGGUGAGUAAUGUCUCGGAAACUGCCUGAUGACGGGGGAUAACUGCUGGAAACGGUAGCUAAUACCGCAUACCAUCGGAUGUGCCCAUAUGUGAUUAGCUAGUUGGCGGGGUAAAGGCUCACCUAGGCGACGAUCCCUAGCUGGUCUGAGAGGAUGAACAGCCACACGGGAACUGAGACACGGUCCAGACUCCUACGGGAGGCAGCAGUGGGGAAUAUUGGACAAUGGGCGCAAGCCUGAUCCAGCCAUGCCGCGUGUAUGAAGAAGGCCUUCGGGUUGUAAAGUACUUUUAGCGGGGAGGCGUUACCCGAAGAAGAAGCACCGGCUAACUCCGUGCCAGCAGCCGCGGUAAUAC